UGUUUAAUUGUUUAAUUUCAGAUUUGCUACAAAAGAUGAAUGCGAGAUUCAGUGUUCUGCCAGUGCGGUUACAACUAGAAGGCCUGUCCCAACAACCAGAGCUCCUGUUGUAGACACAACUCUUUCUACUGCAUAUGUCCCAGAUAGCCGGAGGGACUCUGAGUGCCAAACACCAUCAUCUCUUGAAGCGUGCGGUGUAAACGUCACAGCAUUCUACUACGACUCCAGCGAGCAGCGGUGUGUGGAGGGAAUCAUUGGCAACUGUCCCAAUAUUAACGCGUAUAACACCGAAGAGGAGUGUGAGAGACAGUGUGGAGCAUUCAGAGGACUGGAUGUUUGCAGCCAUGAGAUGGAGGCCCAGGCCCCUGCCUCUACAUUAUCCCCAAGUUCUACUGGGAUAUCAUAUCUCGCCGCUGCCUACUUUUCACGUACGGAGGCUAGGACCAAGGUGGACCCAAUCGCUUCUCCACUGAAUCUGAAUGUGAAGAAGUUUGUGGUUUUAAUAAUCCCAAUGCCAAUGAAGUGGCGCCAGAUGAUGUAGACGAUUGUUCCGAGUACGUGGAGGAGUGCGCAACGAUCGCGUGCGAGAACGGCGUCCAGCGCACGCGCACCCUGGGCGGCUGUGAGCAGUGCAGCUGUGUGGAGGUGGACCAGGACUGC